rnacentral:rRNA from 1 species
UGGGGAAUAUUGCGCAAUGGGGGAAACCCUGACGCAGCAACGCCGCGUGAGUGACGAAGGCCUUCGGGUCGUAAAGCUCUGUCGGAGGGAAAGAAACUAUUCGGCGCUAAUAUCGCCGGAUAUUGACGGUACCCUCAAAGGAAGCACCGGCUAACUCCGUGCCAGCAGCCGCGGUAAUACGGAGGGUGCAAGCGUUGUUCGGAAUUACUGGGCGUAAAGCGCGUGUAGGCGGCUUAUUAUGUCAGGUGUGAAAGCCCUCGGCCUAACCGAGGAAGUGCGCCUGAAACUGAUGAGCUUGAGUACGAGAGAGGAGGACGGAAUUCCCAGUGUAGAGGUGAAAUUCGUAGAUAUUGGGAGGAACACCGGUGGCGAAAGCGGUUCUCUGGAUCGAUACUGACGCUAAGACGCGAAAGCGUGGGGAGCAAACAGG